AUUGAACGCUGGCGGCAGGCCUAACACAUGCAAGUCGAGCGGUAGAGAGAAGCUUGCUUCUCUUGAGAGCGGCGGACGGGUGAGUAAUGCCUAGGAAUCUGCCUGGUAGUGGGGGAUAACGUUCGGAAACGGACGCUAAUACCGCAUACGUCCUACGGGAGAAAGCAGGGGACCUUCGGGCCUUGCGCUAUCAGAUGAGCCUAGGUCGGAUUAGCUAGUUGGUGAGGUAAUGGCUCACCAAGGCGACGAUCCGUAACUGGUCUGAGAGGAUGAUCAGUCACACUGGAACUGAGACACGGUCCAGACUCCUACGGGAGGCAGCAGUGGGGAAUAUUGGACAAUGGGCGAAAGCCUGAUCCAGCCAUGCCGCGUGUGUGAAGAAGGUCUUCGGAUUGUAAAGCACUUUAAGUUGGGAGGAAGGGUUGUAGAUUAAUACUCUGCAAUUUUGACGUUACCGACAGAAUAAGCACCGGCUAACUCUGUGCCAGCAGCCGCGGUAAUACAGAGGGUGCAAGCGUUAAUCGGAAUUACUGGGCGUAAAUCGCGCGUAAGUGUUUUGUUAAUUGGAUGUGGAAUCCCUCGCGCUCUAUUCUGGAACA
rnacentral:rRNA from 1 species